CCCGUCCAGAGCGUCCAUGAGACGCUUGGUCCAUGAUACAUCUGGUCUACACCAAAGGUCCUUGAAAUCUGGUCCCGUCCAGAGCGUCCAUGAGACACUUGGUCCAUGAUGUAUUGGGUCUACACCAAAGGUCCUUGAAAUCUGGUCCCGUCCAGAACAUCCAUGAGACGCUUGGUCCAUGAUACAUCUGGUCUACACCAAAGGUCCUUGAAAUCUGGUCCCGUCCAGAGCGUCCAUGAGACGCUUGGUCCAUGAUACAUCUGGUCUACACCAAAGGUCCUUGAAAUCUGGUCCCGUCCAGAGCGUCCAUGAGACGCUUGGUCCAUGAUACAUCUGGUCUACACCAAAG
rnacentral:lncRNA from 1 species